GCCUGGCUGGCUCAGUUGGUAGAGCACGUGACUCUUGAUCUGGGUCAUGAAUUCAAGCCCCAUGUUGGGUA
rnacentral:tRNA from 1 species